UACGGAGGGAGCUAGCGUUAUUCGGAAUUACUGGGCGUAAAGCGCACGUAGGCGGCUUUGUAAGUAAGAGGUGAAAGCCCAGAGCUCAACUCUGGAAUUGCCUUUUAGACUGCAUCGCUUGAAUCAUGGAGAGGUCAGUGGAAUUCCGAGUGUAGAGGUGAAAUUCGUAGAUAUUCGGAAGAACACCAGUGGCGAAGGCGACUUACUGGACACAUAUUGACGCUGAGGUGCGAAAGCGUGGGGAGCAAACAGG
rnacentral:rRNA from 1 species